rnacentral:lncRNA from 1 species
UUCUGGGAAGUAACAGAGAAGCUAGUGCUAUUUUUGUCAGCAGAGGCACCCACUGGCCAGAAACAAACAAGAAAUGCAGCGUGUAUGUAGGGGGGAAAUGUUAAGGUCAUCAAAUAAGCCACGAUAAUUUCCAUUGACCCUUGGAAAGCAUCUUGACAUUCUUAUUGGAAAGGGGUUGGUCUCUAUACUGGAUGUGAACCAGACGCACGUGGGUGAACGAGUCUGAUCCUCGUUAGACUUCGGGAUCUCUGGGAUCCGCUUACUGUGCUGAAGUUUCUCACCUAUAGGAUGUGGAUCUAAGGUGAAAAAUGAGGGGCUGAGGCUCGGGGAGGGUAACUGCCCCAGACGCAAGGGUGCAUUAGGGGGCGAUGGGAGCAAGGCCCAGCAUCUUGGCUCUGACCGUGGCGUGCCUUCCCCUGAAGCACACUGGGCACUGCUGUGUGACACCCUCGUGCCUGUGGCCUGGUUGAAGUGAACACUGAUGCCUUGUUAGUACUUGGUUUGCAUUCUUGCCAGAGUAAUCCCUGUCUUCUUUUUUC